rnacentral:rRNA from 1 species
UGAGGAAUCUGUCCAUCGGCGGGGGAUAGCCGGCCCAACGGCCGGGUAAUACCGCGUACGUCGGCGGGAGCGCAUGCUCCUGCCGGGAAAGCAGCAAUGCACCGAUGGAGGAUCUCGCGGCCUAUCAGCUUGUUGGUGAGGUCACGGCUCACCAAGGCGACGACGGGUAGCUGGUCUGAGAGGAUGAUCAGCCACAUUGGGACUGAGACACCGGCAGA